UUGAACGCUGGCGGCAUGCCUUACACAUGCAAGUCGCGCGGCAGCGCGGACUUCGGUCUGGCGGCGAGUGGCGAACGGGUGAGUAAUACAUCGGAACGUACCCUGUUGUGGGGGAUAACUAGUCGAAAGAUUAGCUAAUACCGCAUACGACCUGAGGGUGAAAGUGGGGGACCGCAAGGCCUCACGCAGCAGGAGCGGCCGAUGUCUGAUUAGCUAGUUGGUGGGGUAAAGGCCCACCAAGGCGACGAUCAGUAGCUAGUCUGAGAGGACGAUCAGCCACACUGGGACUGAGACACGGCCCAGACUCCUACGGGAGGCAGCAGUGGGGAAUUUUGGACAAUGGGGGCAACCCUGAUCCAGCAAUGCCGCGUGUGUGAAGAAGGCCUUCGGGUUGUAAAGCACUUUUGUCCGGAAAGAAAUCGCGCUGGUUAAUACCUGGCGUGGAUGACGGUACCGGAAGAAUAAGCACCGGCUAACUACGUG
rnacentral:rRNA from 1 species